rnacentral:lncRNA from 1 species
CCCCCAAUACCGCAACUAACACAAAAAGAAUCAUCAACUCUCACAGUAUUGCCCACAAACGCAACUAUUUAAUAGCGUUGUCCACAAACGCAACUAUUUAAUAGAACAAAACCUUGAGCAUAGAGUAUAAAAUAUAAAUUAAAAAAAAAACAGCAAGUUCAUAGAUUUCUCAUUUUCAACAACCACUACAACUGAAUAACAUUAUAUAAUAUAUAAUCUAUAUAAUGUCACAUAACUUUUUGUUCAAACAGUGUAUUGACCGGUAAAAUCUAUAUUUACAAAGUUGCAUGAUCAAAAAAAAUCAUAUCACAAUUCUAUCACCACUUAUCCAACAAUAAAUAGCCACAAAAAAUAUAUAUAAGAGAGAGAUGUCAACACCUUUAUAAGCUUAUUUAAAACUAAAUAUCCACAUAAC